CUCCCGGUUGAUCCCGCCGGACCUGACUGCUAUCGGAUUGGUACUAAGCCAUGCGAGUCGUUGUAGCAAUACAAGGCGGACGGCUCAGUAACACGUAGUCAACCUAACCUAUGGACGUGGAUAACCUCGGGAAACUGAGAAUAAACCGCGAUAGAUCAUUAUGCCUGGAAUGGCUUAUGGUUCAAACAAUUUAUUGCCGUAGGAUGGGACUGCGGCCUAUCAGCUUGUUGGUGAGGUAAUGGCCCACCAAGGCUAUAACAGGUACGGGCUCUGAGAGGAGAAGCCCGGAGAUGGGUACUGAGACACGGACCCAGGCCCUAUGGGGCGCAGCAGGCGAGAAACCUUAGCAAUGUGCGAAAGCACGACUAGGUUAAUCCGAGUGAUUUCUGUUGAAGAAAUCUUUUGUCAGUCGUAAAACCACAGACGAAUAAGGGGUGGGCAAGUCUGGUGUCAGCCGCCGCGGUAAUACCAGCACCUCGAGUGGUCAGGAGGUUUAUUGGGCCUAAAGCAUCCGUAGCCGGCUACGCAAGUCUCCGGUUAAAUCCAGCUGCUCAACAGAUGGGCUGCCGGAGAUACUACAUAGCUAGGGAGCGGGAGAGGUAGACGGUAUUCUGUGGGUAGGGGUAAAAUCCACUGAUCCAUAGAGGACCACCAGUGGCGAAGGCGGUCUACCAGAACGCGUUCGACGGUGAGGGAUGAAAGCUGGGGGAGCAAACCGGAUUAGAUACCCGGGUAGUCCCAGCUGUAAACGAUGCAAACUCGGUGAUGCAUUGGCUUAUGGCCAAUGCAGUGCCGCAGGGAAGCCGUUAAGUUUGCCGCCUGGGAAGUACGGACGCAAGUCUGAAACUUAAAGGAUUGGCGGGGGAGCA
rnacentral:rRNA from 1 species